UACGUAGGUGACCAGCGUUGUCCGGAUUUACUGGGCGUAAAGAGCGCGCAGGCGGUCGUUCAAGUCGAGUGUGAAAGCCCCCGGCUCAACUGGGGAGGGUCAUUCGAUACUGAUCGACUCGAAGGCAGGAGAGGGAAGCGGAAUUCCCGGUGUAGUGGUGAAAUGCGUAGAGAUCCGGAGGAACACCAGAGGCGAAGGCGGCCUACUGGGCUGCACCUGACGCUGAGCCGCGAAAGCCAGGGGAGCGAACGGG
rnacentral:rRNA from 1 species